CUUCUCAUACACAUACACACACCAAAAACCUUUCCCUCAUCCAGCCAUCCAUUUCAUUCAUCAAUAAAUCUGGGCCGUCCAAUUUCAUAAAAGAAUUUCUAUAUUUUACUAAAAUUAUAAUUCCUUAAAAUUCCAAAUUUCAAACGUUAAUAACUUCUUCGAUAUAACUCCAAAUCACGAACCGUCUGCGCCCACAACGUCC
rnacentral:lncRNA from 1 species